GUGCUCACUUGGGCAGCAGAUGCACUAAAAUUGGAACAAUACAGAGAUUAGCAUGGCCCCUGCACAAGGAUGAUUUGCAAAUUCGUGCAGCGUUCCUCAUUAAA
ensembl:snRNA U6 U6 spliceosomal RNA